AACGAACGCUGGCGGCAGGCUUAACACAUGCAAGUCGAGCGCAUCCUCCGGGGUGUGCGCCGGACGGGUGAGUAACGCGUGGGAACGUGCCCUCUUCUACGGAAUCGACUCGGGAAACUGAGAGACAUGCCGUAUACGCCCGCACGGGGAACGAUCAAUCGGUGUAGGAUCGGCCCGCGUUGGAUUAGGUAGUUGGUGGGGUAACGCCCUACCAAGCAGAGGAUCCAGAGCUGGAUGGCGAGGCGGCUCAGCUACACUGGGACUGAGACACGGCCUAGACUGGUACGGGAGGCAGCAGUAGAGAAUCUUGGACAAUGGAGCCAAACGUGGUGCAGCCAUGCGGCGGGAUAGAUGAAGGCCGUAGGAUUGUAAAGAUCGUUCGGAAGAGAAGAUAAUGACGGUACCAGCAGAAGAAGCCCCGGCUAACUCCGUG
rnacentral:rRNA from 1 species